rnacentral:tRNA from 1 species
GCGCCUGUAACUCAGUGGUAGAGUGCUACUCUUAUAAAGUAGAUGCCCUUGGUUCGAUCCCAAGCAGGCGCACAA